UGUGAUAUCAUGGUUCCUGGGA
rnacentral:miRNA from 1 species